AGUUUGCAAUAUUUGCAAAAGCAACGCAAGCAAAAGGACAAUUUAAUUCCUCGAUUGACUCGGAUUGAGCAACGCAAGCAAAUACACAAAUUAAUUCAAAAAUUGACUCCGAUUGUCAAUAACGAGUUUAAGGGGGAGGACUUGAGAAAUAGUAAAAAAGAAGGCAACUAUGCAUUUUCGAAGUUUACCGACAAGUUGAAGAUGGCUGAGGAACAAUUUAAAAAUUUUGAGACGAUGGAGGAAGAGAGAAUCAACCCACCCCAAGAUGCGGAUUAACAAAUUAACCACUGAUGCACAGAAGCCCAUCGCAAUUGAUGUCAUUAUCUAAAUCUGGAUUUCUUUUUAAUAUACUAUCUAAUUUAUGAGAGAAUGCUGGAAGCUUAAAAGAAAAAAAUUAUAUGUUUUCAUUAUUAUAUAUUUUAUACCAAGCAAUAUAUAUAUAUAUAUAUAUAUAUAUAUAUUAUAACUCCUUGGGAGUACUUCCGAACUCGGCAAUCUAUUAUUCAGUUAUCCAAUUGUAUUUCUAAUAUAAUGACCCUUAUGAGUACAUGCGCAUUUAGUGGCAUUUUUAUUCAU